GAUGAAGAACGUAGCGAAAUGCGAUACGUAGUGUGAAUUGCAGAAUUCAGUGAAUCAUCGAAUCUUUGAACGCACAUUGCACCUCUCGGUAUUCCGGGAGGUAUGCCUGUUCGAGCGUCAUUUGUACCCUCAAGCUCUGCUUGGUGUUGGGUGUUUGUUCCGCCUCUGUGUGUGAACUCGCCUCAAAACAAUUGGCAGCCGGCGUACUUGUUUCGGAGCGCAGCACAUUUUGCGAUCCAGNNCAACGUACAGCGGCAUCCAAGAAGCCUUAUUUAACGCUCUUGACCUCGGAUCAGGUAGGGAUACCCGCUGAACUUAAGCAUAUCAAUAAGCGGAGGA
rnacentral:misc_RNA from 1 species